AGACCAACAGUUCUUUUUCUAUUUAGUUUUUUUAUUUUUUUAUUUUAAUUCUUUUUUUAGUUUAUCUUAGUUUAUAUAUUUACGUUAGUACUAAAAUAACAGUUAGUUGGUAAGUGGUCUGGUGGAGAGGAGUGGUGUCUAGAUCCUCAGUGUAGUGGGUUCGAUUCCCCUAUGUGUAGUUUUUUCUUUUAACAUCUUCUUUAUGUUUAUGCUCUAUUACUCAUAGUUUUUU
rnacentral:lncRNA from 1 species